CUCACGGGUACGUAGGCAGAGGACCAUGUCCUUCCAAAUCAAUAAAAAAUGUAGAUAUUUAGGUAUUUAUUUUUCACUUUAAUUCUUCUUUUCAAAAUAAGCAAGCAAGUUAUAGCACAUUAAUUAAAUAAAAACCAGAGGUUCUCGUAGAGUACUACGGACAUAAAGGGUGCUAACACCUUCCCUUUAUGUAACUAACCCACGAACCCUAAAUCUUUUCAAAUAGGGGUAGUUUGAACUUUUUUCCCCUUUUCUUAAUAAAAAUUAAAUGUUCAGUCGUGAAAUAAUUAGUGAGUCAAAAGCUAAUCAAAUAGCCUUGAUCUCCGAAAAAUGACGCGACAGAAAUGGCGACUUCACUGGGGAUACCCCCUAAAGAGGGUUGAGCCUAACUUGGCCUUAUUUAAUUCUCUAUGCUAUAACUUGCUUAAAACAAAAAAAAAAAAAAAAAAAAAAGAUGGAAAUAGUUGUACAUAUCUUCUCUUUUCUCUUAACAUGAGCGGUGAGACAAGUCCUACACCCGGGCUUGAGGGAAACAUAAGAUAGGAUGGUGGUAUAACCAAAGUGCCUUUCCGAGAGUCAAGUCUCGUGUUUUGGUUCAUGUGGUAUAACCCCACUCAAUGGAGGGAUCUUGGAAGUAAUUUAUGUCGGCAUGAGUAGUCGUGUUGGCAUUAUAUUUUCAAGUGACCGUCGAAAUUGAGGACCUUUAGUUACCAUUAACCCAUCUUGGCCUUUUAGGACGUAGUGCGGUGGCUAAUCAAGAGUAGUCUUGAAUUGGUUGAUACGCGAUACUACACCCAAACGAGACUUUCCUACGAAUAUUGUUGGAAUGGGAGUAGUCCCGUCACCGGAUAAAUAUUUGAAAGUGGUUAAAGACUUUGGGAACUUGGUAGAACCCGUGAUACAGGUACAAAUGAAACCAUAGUCCUUACCAAAUGGCAUUGUUACCCUAAGCUCCAACAUUGUGGACUUAACCUCACCAUGCAUGAUCAUGCAUACAUGCAUUCAUCCAUAAAAAAACUUUUUUUUCAUCAAAAUAUCGAAGGACUUAGAUAAGUUUUCGUAAACAUCAAAGAUAUGGUCCUUGUAAGAAGGAACACCAAGAAACCCAAAACUUCAAAAAAAGCUUUAGCUUUUGUUAAGAACUUUUUCCUUAGUUUCGUUCUUACUUUUGAAAGGGAACCAAUUGCAACGUCUUUACAAUUUUUAAAUAAAACAAUGUUCCUUAUCAAGUUUACAAUUACUUUGACAAGUCCUUCAAAAAAAGAAACGUGUCUGUUUUUGCAUAAGCAUGCAUCAUUUGCAUUCAUAGUUUCAAGUCAGAGUCUUACACUGUGUCUUUUCUACUAAAGGUCAGUCCAUCUCAAAGAGUCAUGGCAUCCUCGUCUGAAACUCACUCGCAUUUACAACACUCGAACAAUCAUGAAGAAAGGAUGAAGUUUCUCAAACAAGAAAAUCAAUUGCUCCGUGAGGAGGUGGCAGUCAUGCGAACUAAGAUGGAUGAAAUGACUGAAUUGAUGAAAGCAUUGACGGCUGCACAUAAUCAACCACCACCUCCUCCUCCUCCUAUCAGCACUCAAGCCGAAGCAACUGUCUCUAUUUUUCCUGAAUGGACGAUACCUGUCAGUACUUCCCCAAAUUCUAGGCCAGAAGAUCGUCCUUGGAGUGUCCCUAUUUUUCUCAGUGAAGUAUUCCGCCCUAUUGCUUCUGAAACUCAGAUGCCUACUCAUCAAUAUGCAGCUCAUGUUCCUCCGCUUCCUGUAAGAGCUCCUCCAGUUGUCAUGACUUAUUCAACACCUAUGAUGCAUACCAUUCCACAAAAUGAAGAACCCAUCUUCCAUUCAGGGAACAUGGAGCCCGAUGAUAGAAUGAAUGACUUACGGGAAAAAUAUGAUGAAAUGCAUCGAGAAAUGAGGGCUCUCCGUGGGAAAGAAAAAUUUGGAAAGACCGCUUAUGAUCUCUGUUUGGUGCCGAAUGUCCAGAUACCUCACAAGUUCAAGAUCCCAGAUUUUGAGAAGUAUAAAGGGAACUCCUGCCCCGAGGAACAUUUGAAAAUGUAUGUAAGAAGGAUGUAUGCAUAUGCUCGAGACGAUCAGGUCCUCAUUUGCUACUUUCAAGAAGGUCUGGCUGGUCCCGCCUCAAAAUGGUACACGAAUCUAGAGAAAACGAGAAUCCAAACUUUUCGUGAUCUAUGUGAAGCUUUUGUGGAGCAAUACAGUUAUAACAUGGAUAUGGCGCCGGACCGAAGUGAUCUUCAGGCUAUGACUCAAGAGAGCAAGGAAACGUUCAAGGAGUAUGCCCAGCGAUGGAGGGAUACCGCUGCCCAAGUCAGCCCGCGUGUAGAAGAGAAAGAAAUGACCAAGCUCUUCUUAAAAACUCUCAAUCAGUUCUACUACAAGAAGAUGGUCGGAAGCACGCCCAAGAACUUUGCUGAGAUGGUUGGUAUGGGUGUACAAUUGGAAGAAGGAGUCCGAGAAGGACGAUUGGUCAACAAUACCCAAGAAAUUGCCGACUAGGUGGAGACAGGAUCUCUCUUGCACCUUCCAUCAAGGGGCACAAGGUCAUGACGUUGAGCACUGUUUCUCCUAGGAAAUUGAAGUCCAGAAGCUGAUCGACGACAAUGUGUUGCAUUUCGAGAAAUUGAAUCCGAGUGUGUAGCUGCAAUUGGGUCGACAUUUUGUCUUCUGCUAUUCAAUUUGUUUCCAGUGAUGUGUUUGUUCGUUUAUUAUCUUUUCAAAAAAAAACAUCCUUUCAUCCCGCCCAGGAUGAAAGUGAACUAGUGUAGGGCUUUUUGCUUUAAGAUUUGUCAUCAUUAAUAAAAAGGUCGUUUUGAUCCCGACUUUAUUUUCAUUUUGUGCUUUUUCUUGGAAAAAUGGUAAUACAAAAAACCCAAAAAAUAAUUAAUCAUUCACAAAUAUCUGCAUAAUCAUAACUUUUGUUUACUUGUCAAAAUCAACAAUAAAUCAUGCAUUAAUAAACCCGUUGAACACAUUUACCAUGUACUCUCUUCCAACUUUGAGUUCCUUGUAUCCGAAGCUGAAAGAGACAUGAAUGAAGAGACUCAUGACAAGAUCUCUCGCCUACUGGGGCAUCUAGCCAUCAAAGCUACCAAACAAAAAUCAGGAAGAUAAUCCAGAAGAUGGCACUCACUUACAAAGACUAGUUCGAGGUGCUACCAUUCGCUUUGCUCGGAUAUCGUGCUUCAGUACACAUUUCAACAGGGGCAUCCCCCCUCUUUCCCUCAAGUAUACAACAGGGAGGUGAUGCUUCCCGCACGAUCAAAGUCCCAACAAUAGGAGUUAUGUCAAAGUCCAAGCUUGAACAAACUUAAAAUGCAUGACGACCUUGUACAAUCAUGUCAAAAAAAGUUUGAAAACAAACUUCCAACAAGAAGGUUCGUCCCCGUGAAAUUCAAGAAUGAGACUUUGUGCUCAAAAGGAUACUAUAUUUCCAAUCAGACUCCAGGGGCAAGUGGACGCCUAACUAUGAAGGAUCGCGUGCAAUAACUUCUCCAACUAUGAAUGACAAACUCGCACUUCCUAUGAAUGUCGGUGCGGUCAAGAAAUACUUUGUCAAAAAAUAAUAAAGCUCGAUAAGUCGCAAACCUUAAAGUACGGCUUAGGCAAAAAUGAGCGUCUCAGUGGACUGAAAACCCAAAAGGGCGGUCCGGGCAAAAGUUAGAGACAUGAACAAAAAUGAUUAUCCUGAUAGAUUGAAAACCCGAAAGGGCGAUCUAUGCAAAAGUUAAGGAUCAAAAAGACAAAGUAACUGCAUCCGGUCAAGCACAUUCCACUUGGGGCAUCCAGCUAUCAAAAGACCUCCGACUCGAAGCAUCUGCGGAUCAAAGACUCGGAACAGGGGCAUUCAAAGUUGUUAGGGAGAAUAAUGGUUACUGUGUUCAAUGUACCCUCCCCAUUACAUUUACCAUUUUUCCAAAAUUUUCAAAAAAAUCCGUGGAGCCAUGCCCUUGGCAGGUCACCACUCAAUUCAUCAAACUUGAGCCUGUGCCCAUUUAUUUGGAACUCUCAUUUAUUCUAUUUGCAUAAUUUCUUCUUAAAGCAAAAAAAUUUCAAAAUACAAAACUUUUUUUUACAUCUCUUGAAAAGUGUGAACAACAAACACAUUCUCUUUGAACUCGUGAGUAGGUGAAGUAUACAUCAGCAUCCGCCUCGAUAACGGUUACACUCCGGAAGAGAAACAUGACUAAGUACUAUGGAGAGGUCCUAUACUUUGAACAAAAUGCUGUCACAGUCAAAAAAUACAAAAAAUAAUACAAAGAAGCUCGCUAAGUUGAAAACCUGAAAAGGCGACUUAGGCAACAGAGAGCGUCCCGGUGGACUGAAAACCCGAAAGGGCGGUCCAGGCAAAAAUUAGGGGCAAAACAAAAAAAUAUUCCCGGUGGACUGAAAACCCGAAAGGGCGGUCCAGGCAAAAAUUAGGGAUUUUUCAAUAAAACAAAAGGCAUGACUGCUGAAGCAUACCAAUGGAAGGACACUCUAUGCCGGUUUACAAAUGGCGACUUCUUCCAGACUUCUUUCAUCAACAAUGGGCUCACCCCCCCAGGAGGCAUCGGUGGCUACCUAGUGCCAGGUUCUUACACCAUCAACGGCUCGAUUUGCUCACAAUAAUAUCAUCUCCAAGGAAGGUUGCCGAGUGUUUGUAAUGCAAUGUCGGUCUGACUCCCAUCUUACCUGUCUUGUCUCGGUUCAUCGAUUCACGUGUCAUGUACAUUCAUAUAUCCAUACAUUCAUACAAUCAUGCAUGCAUCAAUAUUUUCACAUAUUCAUACGUUCAUGCGUACACAACAUAUGCACAACAUCAAUUCACACAUAAUUACAUCAGUAAUCCAAAGUUUUAUUUGGCAGUGUUUUUCCAGUUCAGCCCUCGUAUCAUCGUUAUGUCAAGUGGCAAGUUCUAACAAAUGAGCAUCUUGUUUCGUUUUCUUUAUCAAAAGUGUCAUCCCCAACAUAGUUGUUCCAGAGAUGUCACCAAUCAAACAUUUCAAGUGGCAAGUCCCAACCAACGGACAACUUGCAUCUCCCUUUUACCUCAUUUCAAGCGGCAAGUCCACCAACGGACGCUUGCAUUUAUCUUUUUAUCCUGUUUCAAGUGCUGAGUCCACCAAUGGACGCUUGAGUUUAGCUUUUUAUCGUGUUUCAAGUACCAAGUCCACCAACGGACGCUUGAGUUUACUUUUUAUCUUGUUUCAAGUCACCAAGUCCACCAACGGACGCUUGAGUUUACUUUUUAUCCUGUUUCAAGUGCUGAGUCCACCAACGGACGCUUGAGUUUAGCUUUUUAUUUUGUCUCAAGUCACCAAGUCCACCAACGGACACUUGCGUUUACUUUUUAUCUUGUUUCAAGUCUCGCAAAAGCCCGGUGGAUUCCGGCAAACCUUUCAUCAAAAGCCGAGUGGAUUCUCGCAAAAGCUCGGUGGAUUUCGGCAAACCUUUUAUCAAGCCAAGUGGAUUCUCGCAAAUGUUUACCAAGCCGAGUGGACUCUCGCAGACCUUUUUAUCAAGUCGAAAGGUGUCACUAAAAAAAUCUUUUCUCCAUUAAAUUGUCGUUCCAAACCAAGACGACGGUGGACAAUCAUUUUCCCCAGUGAAACUACAUUCCCCUAGCAGAGUCGGAUCCCUUUUCUUCAACGAAUUUGGAUAUCCCGUUGUCAGUUCUCAUUCCAGUCAAGUAAUCUUUGUCGUCCUGCAUUCAUAAUCACAUCAUGAACAUUCAUAGUAUCUUAGGUCAAAAUUGGUGCACUUUUGUAUUUAAGUCUCUUCGGCUCAUCGAAUCAAAGAUUCCAUCUUCAAAUCUCUGAACGAAGAAACUUAAAUAGGGGCAUCUGUCAUACCCCAAUUUUUGACCCAAGAUCCCACUGACACGCGCCAUUUAACCCUGAUCGGUCUCACGUUUCAGUGAAAAAUUCGGCAGGGAGGUAUUUUAAAAUACCUCAUUUUGUUCCGAGUCGGGCCCUCUUAUCUCAGUCUUUAAAAUUAUUUCCAUCUUUUAAAUUUUUAUUUUAACUUUAGUCUAAAUUUAAUUUAAUUUCUUUUUAUUCCCAUUAAAUCCAAAUUUCAUUUUUUAUUUUUGUUUUUAUUUUUAUCAAAAAAACCGAAAAUGUAAAUUUUAUUUCCUUUUUAUUUUAUUAUUUAUUUCAUUUUUUAAAAAAAUUUAAGAGAUAAGUCCAAAAGUGUCAAAAAAUCCAAAAAGUGGUCCAGAUGCAUAAACACGUUUUUUUCUUUUCAAUCCAAAAAAAAAAAACAGUCUGUCACGCCAGUGCAAACGCGUUUCCCAUGCUCAUUCAAUCCAAAUCCAGUCGUGUUCUUCAUCUCAAUCCAAAGCCACAUUUAUCUGCUCUUUUAACAAACCCUAAACCCAAAUCCCAGCACUAUAAAUUGCAACCUGCCAAACACAAUCAAAAACACACAGGAACAAUACAGGAAUCCAGAAGCACAGAAUCACAGCAAUACAGAAAUACAGAAGCAGCGAAGCACACAACACAUAGAAGCGUGCACAACACAGAAACAAGAAAAGCCAGAAUCGUGCAUCAUCAAGGGGGAGUCCGAAUCGCAAUACAAACACAAUUUCCAGAUCGCAAUCGCACACACAGGCAGUAACAACAUCACAACAAAGCCAAACAGCAAGCAUACAGAAGCGACACACACACAAAGGGGGUAAUUUUCGCACUUUUUUGUAGAUCUAGAAAUUUAGGUAUUGUGAGUGAAGAAACGAAAUUAGGAGAGCGAGCCGGUCUUAAAACCAAAAAAAAAAUCAAAAAAAAGGAGCUUUUUAGCUCCGGCGCGGCGGCGCAGCCGCGAUGGCUCGCCGGCCACCGCGCCGGAAUCCCACCGGCCGCCCUGCCCAUCCGUCGGAGAAGGAAGAAAGAAAUAGAGAGAGUUUGAGAGACUUAGGGAAGAAGAGAGAGAAAAGGAAAAGGAAAAUGAGGAAAUUAGGGUUUACACCCUUUAUAUACCUUUCAAAUCCGGGUCGACCCACCAGGCUUAACCCAUGACCCGCUCCGUUUCUAUCUAGGCCCAAACCUGUUUUUUUACUUUUUGCAACUCCCCUGCUUACUUCUGCACCCCCUACCUUAUGAUUGGACCAACUCUUUUUAUUUUUCAAGUCUUGCAUGCAUGUUUAUUUUAGACAUGGUAAAUUAUUUAGAAUUAGAUUUAUUUCUUUGUUCAUUCAUUUAUUUUUUCCAUACAAAUAAUUUAGAAAGUAAAGAAAUAGGUCCCUAUGUAAUUUAUUUAUCUUUUUUUGCAGACCUUAGAAUGUAUUUUAGGCUUAAUGUAAAUCAUGCAUGUGUGUGCGCGUGUGUGUAUGCCUUUAUCUUCUCCCUAGCUUAGGUCUUUGUGGUGGUCUAAUACCCCAUGACGAUACCUACGUUUUAUUUUCAUGCUCCGUUAGUUUUAUUUUUUAGCAAUUAUUCAAAAAUCACAAAAAACAUCAAAUACCAAAAAAAUCACAAAAAAUAUUUUCAUAAACAAACCUUGAUCCUAAAUCAAGUGAUCGUCUCUUUUUUUUUUUUUUUUUUUUUUUUUUAUUUCUUUAACCAAAUCUCAAUCAAUUUAAUUUCAACUUUAAGUCUUUUUCUUUUAAUCUAAAAAAUACAAACAAGCUUAUUUUGCCACUAGGCUUUUCAUCUUUUAAAAUUUUUUUUUUUUUCAAAACUAAUAAAAGACACUCAACAAAUCAAACGUUGUUUUCUACCCUGAACUACGAGGUUUUGAUCCCUCACGGGUACGUAGGCAGAGGACCAUGUCCUUCCAAAUCAAUAAAAAAUGUAGAUAUUUAGGUAUUUAUUUUUCACUUUAAUUCUUCUUUUCAAAAUAAGCAAGCAAGUUAUAGCACAUUAAUUAAAUAAAAACCAGAGGUUCUCGUAGAGUACUACGGACAUAAAGGGUGCUAACACCUUCCCUUUAUGUAACUAACCCCCGAACCCUAAAUCUUUUCAAAUAGGGGUAGUUUGAACUUUUUUCCCCUUUUCUUAAUAAAAAUUAAAUGUUCAGUCGUGAAAUAAUUAGUGAGUCAAAAGCUAAUCAAAUAG
rnacentral:lncRNA from 1 species